rnacentral:rRNA from 1 species
CCUACGGGAGGCAGCAGUGAGGAAUAUUGGUCAAUGGGCGCGAGCCUGAACCAGCCAAGUAGCGUGAAGGAUGACUGCCCUACGGGUUGUAAACUUCUUUUAUAAAGGAAUAAAGUGAGGCACGUGUGCCUUUUUGUAUGUACUUUAUGAAUAAGGAUCGGCUAACUCCGUGCCAGCAGCCGCGGUAAUACGGAGGAUCCGAGCGUUAUCCGGAUUUAUUGGGUUUAAAGGGAGCGGAGAUGGGUUGUUAAGUCUGGGGUAAAAGGCAGUGGCUCAACCAUUGUAUGCAUUGGAAACUGGAAGAC